ACUUCAUUAGUUUGCAGAGGAAUCAUCCAGGAGCCCUCACCGAACGAGAAUAUGCAGAAGUGGAUGUGAGCAGCCUGGACAUCCUUCUGAGGAGACCUCAACAGUCCUCAGGUUUCUGCCUUCUGCCUAACUGGCUUAGCAAGUGAAAAGAAGUCACAGGCCAGAGUCUACUGCCCUCGUGCAAUGGAAAGAGAGCAAGAGCGAUGAGUCUGCAAGCGUUGUUGAUGCGUCGCAGAAGGCGUCCAUCUGGGAGCGGAACUGCCACCACUCUCAAUGAGAAGUGUCUUCUUUGGUGAUCGCUCUGCUCAAGGCCCAUCUUGCUCCUGAGGAAUUGUCCAGGAACAGCAGCCGGAGGAGAAAUUGGCAGACGUGGGCCUGAGGAGCCUGGACAUUCUUCUAAGGAGACAUGAACAGUCCUCGGCUUUCUGCCU